CAGGACCUGACGGAGUGGAGGGUGAAGACGUCCACAGUGCUGGUGACGCAGACGAUCACCACCUUCGCCUCCCCGCGCCUCAUCACCCAUACGCAGGUGUUCACGGCGCCCAAGUACUUGACACAGCUUCAGCAUCACACCCAGGUCAAGUACGUAACGAGCACGGACACACGCACGUACACGGACACGUCGGUGGAGGUGACAACAAGGACACAGACGAAUGUGGUUAGCGUGACACACACCACCACCGCCACGCACAUCAGCACCGCCACGCAGCGCCGAGUUGUGUACACCACCGACACCCAAUACACGUACGUGACGCAGACGAAGAACGUGCCGAAGUACGAGAUUCACACCUUGACGUCACCUUACCGCGUGUACAGGACCAUCACCCACACCCGCACGGAGGACGAAUACAUCACCCAGACAUCAGUGUACAUCCGCACUGUCUUGGUGACCAGCUGCAGGCGGCAACCACACUACACCAAGGGAGGGAAGUACUCCUUGUAUGGGUGAAGGACUGCCAGGUGAAGGAUGGACAGAUGAAGGAUGAAGGAUAAGUGAAGGAUAGACUGAGUAGUAUGUAGAUGUAACGCAGACCAAUGUUGUUUAAAGCACGUGUCUUAUUUAACCCUUUCAAUACUGAGACGCAUUUUCACCUUUAUUUUUGGUUAUGAUUAGACGAUUUUAUUCGCAUUAGGAAGGGUCUAUGGAGGUCAAGAGAUUAAUGGCCAGAGUCUUUACUAUUCUAAUCCUAACAUGUGUUUCUGAAGCUGCUUAAAGUCACCUAAUAGUAACCAGAAUAUAUAUGAAAAUACGUCAUGGUACUGAAGAGAUUAAGCUGUCAUCCAAGGCCUCAAUGCAGCUCAGGUGUUUGUGUAUGUUAUAUAGUAAGGUGUAUUUGAUAAGUCUCUAUACAUAUCGUUCUAUCUCUUUUAUUAACUUGAACCGCCAUUUUCCCGUCGUGUUAAGUUAUUUUACCGAUAGUUUUAAGACACAGAGCCUACAAGCUGCACAGUCAA